CCUUUUUUGAGAAACGAACGUAUUGUAUAUAGGAAAAUGCUUUGUGUCUCUUUUGUCCGCAGUGGCCGUAUAUCCACACCUCGCUACCGAAGAAGCUAGCCCAAUUGACAAUGCCUACACGGUAGCUUUUAUUUCAUACCAUGUAGGAAGUUGUCUUCUUUCGAUUGGCCUGAUAUGGGGAGCCAAUUCUGGAAACCGUGGCCUCCUACAAAAAGUUGUGCUUGGGACCAAAAUACGGCUCGUCCUUUUCAUCUUUCUCGCGGCGUUUAGAAUUUACGUUCUAUCAAAACUAGAUCUCUCUGACCCGUUUGGAAUAGGCAAGGCUAAUUCAAUUGAGG